GGUGAACGCUGGCGGUGUGCCUAAGACAUGCAAGUCGAACGAGAACGGAUUAUAGCUUGCUAUAAUUGUCAGCUAAGUGGCGCACGGGUGAGUAAUGUAUAGGUAAUAUGCCUCUUACUAAGGGAUAACAAAUGGAAACGUUUGCUAAUACCUUAUACUCCUUAUUAACAGAAGUUAAUAAGGGAAAGAUUUAUUGGUAAGAGAUUAGCCUGUAUUGUAUCAGUUAGUUGGUGGGGUAAUGGCUUACCAAGACUAUGACACAUAACUGGUUUGAGAGGAUGAUCAGUCACACUGGAACUGAGACACGGUCCAGACUCCUACGGGAGGCAGCAGUGGGGAAUAUUGCACAAUGGACGAAAGUCUGAUGCAGCAACGCCGCGUGGAGGAUGACACAUUUCGGUGCGUAAACUCCUUUUAUAUGAGAAGAUAAUGACGGUAUUAUAUGAAUAAGCACCGGCUAACUCCGUGCCAGCCGCCGCCGUAA
rnacentral:rRNA from 1 species